rnacentral:lncRNA from 1 species
UGCAGAGUUUGCGUCGCCUCUUCCGAAGACACAUAUUUGUGUUUCCCCUCAACUCCUACGCAUAAUGGGUAGUUUGUUUGGGUCGUCUGUUGGAACAUGAAUUUGGUGACGCAAAACACUGUUCGUGAUGUAUUUUGUGUUUUGAGGUACCUAUUGGAGACAGUCUAAAAGCAGCAAAAUAGGAAUAGUAACACUUUCGUUUGUAUUUGACAAAUAUUGUCCAAUUAUGGACUAACUAGGCUCAAAAGAUUCGUCUCGUCAAUUCCGACCAAACUGUGCAAUUAGUUUUAGUUUUCAUCUAUAUUUAAUACUCCAUGCAUACGUCUAAAGAUUCAAUGUGACGAAGAAUCCGAAAAAUUUUGCAAAAUUUUUGGGGAACUAAACAAGGCCAGAGAAAGAAUGUGUGAUAAUUUUGUAGUCUAAGCCUAGGAACCUAUAGUCUUGUAGCCUACAUAGAUCUAAUAAUUUAUUCUAAGGCAUAUGUUCCUAUUAGCCUGCAUUGGGGAAGCCCUUAGUGGUUCUAGUACAAAUAAAGUGUUCCACAUAGAUUAGAAAAUGUCGAGACUACUAUUCACACAAUGCAAUCUAUCACUACCUGUGAUUUGCAAAAAAAAAAUCUUUCAUCAUGUCUCAUCUUUAUUUUCUCUUCUUUUUUAGCAUGGGCCACCUUCUCUCUCCAAGCAUAUGUAGUUUCUAUAAGCUAAUAUGACAAGUUUUGAGCAUCUAUUUUUUAUCCGAUACUCCAUGGCACUUGGGGCUAUAAGAAAAAGCGUAGCGUUGGGAAAGCCCUUAUAAUUACCAUCUAAAAUUAUAAACUUCCUUCAUUGCCAUUUAUUUAUAAUUAUGUGUCUUUUCAUUAUCAUUUUUAUGGAUAAUUUGUUUCCUUUGAUGGCAUUGAGAGAACAAAACAUCGUUAUCAGAUGUUCGGUGCAUAGGACUAACUACGUGAACACCUUUGAUAAUCAAAUUUAACCACUUUUUAUAGUUUGCUGAGUUUAAUAGUAUGCUUAGACAAUUUUUUCACCGGAUUUAUUAAAUUUAAGUUUAAUUAAUAGACAAAGGUAUGAAUUUCAUGUUCAAACAACAAUGUUCACUAGAGUUAUCAAAUCAAGAAGAGCAUACGGAGCAAGAGUUUUUAGAAAGUACUUAGAGAUAGAUCACGCUUUAAUAUGAAAGGAUGCAUUGUUUUUCUGAACUUUGAAUAGUGGAGGAAGCUGAUUUUUUUCAAAUAGACCUUAGAGAUAAAAAUAAAAAUAAAAAAAUAUCUAAAUAGAGAUAAUACCAAUUAAACUUAAAUUGAAUUAAUUCAGCAAAAUAAAUUAUCUAAGCAUACUAUCUUGCUCAGACUAUAAAGAGUGAUCAAAUUUGGUUAUCAACGGUGGGUGAUCAAAUUUGGUUAUUGAAUGUGCUCAUGGAGUUAGUCGUGUUUAACAAAACACGCUACAAGAUGUUUUGUUCCCUCAAUAUAAUGGUAUUAACGAAAACAAAUUAUUUAUAUGGAUGUCUAUUAAGAUAAUAAGGUUUCUCCAUACAACAGUAAUCAUAAUGAGGGUCAAAAAAUCUAAAAUCUUAAAAUGUAUUUUAGAUCAUAACUCUUAAAAUAUCCAAACUUAAUUAACUUAGUGUUAUUCAAGUCAUAGAACUUGCCAUAGUGUAUCAUUUAAGGCCUUGUUUAGUUCACCCUGAAAAUCAAAAAGUUUUCAAGAUUCCCCGUCACAUCGAAUCUUGUAGCACAUGCAUGAAACAUUAAAUAUAAACGAAAACAAAAACUAAUUACACAGUUUAGCUGUAAAUCACGAGAUGAAUCUUUUGAUCCUAGUUAGUCUAUGAUUGGAUAAUAUUUGUCACAAACAAACGAAAGUGCUACAGUACCGAAAACUUUUCACUUUUCGUAACUAAACAAGGCCUAAGUCCUGAUAGACCUAAUAUUUAGUGUCAUGAUGUCACAUGCUAUACUAUUAGAUCCACACCUCAUUCUUGUAGACCAAGGAAGAAACAUAAUGGCAAAGCAAUCGUUCACGUACCUUCUCACCUUAGAGCACUAGCUUUGACCACUAUUGAUGAUGUCAUAGCAUUUGAAGUGGAGGAAGAUGAAGGCAUGGGAUAGGGAUCGAGAAAUCCAUAACAAAAUAUCAAUAUUUGGAGAUCUAAUUAAAGAAGCUAUUGGAGAGAGCUUU